UGAGAAUCUACCUUCAGGUCGGGGAUAACCCCUGGAAACGGGGGCUAAUACCGGAUAGGUCGAAAGAUGAAAGGUUAACUGCCUGAAGAGGGGCUCGCGUCUGAUUAGCUAGUAGGUGUGGUAAGAGCGCACCUAGGCGACGAUCAGUAGCUGGUCUGAGAGGAUGAGCAGCCACACUGGGACUGAGACACGGCCCAGACUCCUACGGGAGGCAGCAGUGGGGAAUUUUCCGCAAUGGGCGAAAGCUUGACGGAGCAAGACCGCGUGGGGGAGGAAGGCCUUUGGGUUGUAAACCCCUUUUGUUAGGGAAGAAAAAAAUGACGGUACCUAACGAAUCAGCCUCGGCUAACUCCGUGCCAGCAGCCGCGGUAAUACGAACAUUGCUCGCGUUCUCCGGAAUUAUUGAGCGUAAAGCGUCCGUAGGUGGCACGGCAAGUCUGCUGUCAUAG
rnacentral:rRNA from 1 species